rnacentral:rRNA from 1 species
CCAGACUCCUACGGGAGGCAGCAGUGAGGAAUAUUGGUCAAUGGGCUUACGCCUGAACCAGCCAAGUCGCGUGAGGGAGGACGGCCCUACGGGUUGUAAACCUCUUUUGCCGGGGAGCAACGGGCGUCACGUGUGGCGCCACUGAGAGUACCCGGAGAAAAAGCAUCGGCUAACUCCGUGCCAGCAGCCGCGGUAAUACGGAGGAUGCGAGCGUUAUCCGGAUUUAUUGGGUUUAAAGGGUGCGUAGGCGGAUCGUUAAGUCAGUGGUCAAAUGGGGGGGCUCACCCCCUCCCCGCCAUUGAAACUGGCGUUCUUGAGUGGAAGAGAAGUAUGCGGAAUGCGUGGUGUAGCGGUGAAAUGCAUAGAUAUCACGCAGAACUCCGAUUGCGAAGGCAGUAUACCGGCGCCCAACUGACGCUGAAGCACGAAAGCGUGGGUAUCGAACAGGAUUAGAUACCCCGGUAUG